CACCCAGAAAGUGCCAGGUCCCCCUAUUGUCCAUGCUGCCAUCUUUGUGUUGAGCGGCAUCCUUCAGUGCCAUUUGGUUCUGACUUCAGCUUCAUCAUUGCUUCCAGGGCGAGCUGCAUGUCUCCAAACUCUUCAACCAUCCCAAUAUCAUGCCAUAUCGAGCCACUUUUAUUGCAGACAAUGAGCUGUGGGUUGUCACAUCAUUCAUGGCAUACGGUGAGUGGGAAAGGGUUCUUGGUAGAAAGGGGUUAUUGGGACUCUGUUGUCAGAUUGCCUGUGUUUUCCUCCUCCAUUACCUUUCACUGCCUCCAUGCAAUCCUUUUCUGCAGGUUCUGCAAAAGAUCUCAUCUGUACACACUUCAUGGAUGGCAUGAAUGAGCUGGCGAUUGCUUACAUCCUGCAGGGGGUGCUGAAGGCCCUCGACUACAUCCACCACAUGGGAUAUGUACACAGGAGUGUCAAAGCCAGCCACAUCCUGAUCUCUGUGGAUGGGAAGGUCUACCUGUCUGGUUUGCGCAGCAACCUCAGCAUGAUAAGCCACGGGCAGCGGCAGCGAGUGGUCCACGAUUUUCCCAAGUACAGUGUCAAGGUUCUGCCGUGGCUCAGCCCCGAGGUCCUCCAGCAGAAUCUCCAGGGUUAUGAUGCCAAGUCUGACAUCUACAGUGUGGGAAUCACAGCCUGUGAACUGGCCAACGGCCAUGUCC
rnacentral:sRNA from 1 species